GAUGAACGCUGGCGGUGUGCCUAACACAUGCAAGUCGAGCGAACACACGAGGAGCUUGCUCUCCUGACGUUAGCGGCGGACGGGCGAGUAACACGUGGAUAACCUACUUAUUAUUCUGGGAUAAUAACGGGAAACCGGUGCCACUACUGCCUCAUACAUUGAACCGCAUGGUUCAAUAGUUAUACACGGCUUUCCCGGUUGUUUUAGAUGGAUUCGCGCUGCCUUAGCUAGUUGGUAAGGUACCGGCUUACCAAGGCGACGAUGCGUGGCCGACGUGAGAGGGUGAUCGGCCACACUGGAACUGAGACACGGUCCAGACUCCUACGGGAGGCAGCAGUGGGGAAUCUUCCGCAAUGGGCGAAAGCCUGACGGAGCAACGCCGCGUGGGUGAUGAAGGUCUUCGGAUCGUAAAACUCUGUUAUUAGGGAAGAACAAAUGUGUAAGUAACUAUGCACGUCUUGACGGUACCUAAUCAGAAAGCCACGGCUAACUACGUG
rnacentral:rRNA from 1 species